rnacentral:rRNA from 1 species
AUUGAACGCUAGCGGCAGGCCUAACACAUGCAAGUCGAACGAGUGGCGGACGGGCGAGUAAUGUCUGGGAAACUGUCUGAUGGAGGGGGAUAACUACUGGAAACGGUAGCUAAUACCGCAUACUAUCGGAUGUGCCCAGAGGGGAUUAGCUAGUAGGGGGGGUAACGGCUCACCGAGGCGACGAUCCCUAGCUGGUCUGAGAGGAUGACCAGCCACACUGGAACUGAGACACGGUCCAGACUCCUACGGGAGGCAGCAGUGGGGAAUAUUGCACAAUGGGCGCAAGCCUGAUGCAGCCAUGCCGCGUGUAUGAAGAAGGCCUUCGGGUUGUAAAGUACUUUCAGCGGGGAGGCGUUACUCGCAGAAAAAGCACCGGCUAACUCCGUGCCAGCAGCCGCGGUAAUUC